rnacentral:rRNA from 1 species
CAAAGGAAUUGACGGGGCCGCACAAGCGGUGGAGCAUGUGGUUAAUUCGAAGCAACGCGAAGAACCUUACCAGGUCUUGACAUCCCGAUGCUAUUUCUAGAGAUAGAAAGUUACUUCGGUACAUCGGUGACAGGUGGUGCAUGGUUGUCGUCAGCUCGUGUCGUGAGAUGUUGGGUUAAGUCCCGCAACGAGCGCAACCCCUAUUGUUAGUUGCCAUCAUUCAGUUGGGCACUCUAGCGAGACUGCCGGUAAUAAACCGGAGGAAGUGGGGAUGACGUCAAAUCAUCAUGCCCCUUAUGACCUGGGCUACACACGUGCUACAAUGGUUGGUACAACGAGUUGCGAGUCGGUGACGGCGAGCUAAUCUCUUAAAGCCAAUCUCAGUUCGGAUUGUAGGCUGCAACUCGCCUACAUGAAGUCGGAAUCGCUAGUAACCGCAGGUCAGCUAUACUGCGGUGAAUACGUUCCCGGGGCUU